rnacentral:lncRNA from 1 species
UGGACGGGAGCUCAGAGCGCCCAGCCACCGUAUGGAGGGACAGCUGAGCACAAGCACACACCCAGGUGGGUGUGGCAGUGGAGUCUGCAGAUGUUCUCUUCUCAUUCCUUCUGUGUUUUCAGCAUUUGGAAGCAAAGCCAUCAAUUGAGGGUGAAAGGUAGAAAGAGGCGCCAGAGGACCGAGAAAAAGGGGGAACCAGGGAGUGAACGAUGAAUGGACACAACACCUCUCUGAGGCUUCAGCACCUCCCUCUUCCAGUUUGCCCAUGCAGGUCCUUGAAGCCAAGCACCAAGCACAUCCAGAAAACUGAAAUGAGUCCACCAAAUUCACGUUAAGCAACUUCAACUGGAUUCUCAAUGUUUCUGAAGUUCUUUAUUCACCUCUAGUGAAUGUUCACCUCAAUGUCCACAGCAAGUGGGGAUUUUCUACCUCCUUCAGGACCCAGCACCACCCCCUCAUCACUGAGCAGAUGAGCUUGGCUUCUAUUUUAUUAAGGGCAAAGGCCACUUGAUGUGAGCAAGCUUCUUAAAACUUCCUUCUCUCUGACUCAAAAUCUCUGCAUGUUUAACAUCUACUUGUCUUUCCCUGCUGCCUCCCAAAUGUUAUUUUCUUCUUUCCAGGGUUAACCCCACCUCUCCCUCUACCACCUGCACCUCCAAUCUGCAGAACUUUAUUCAGUUAUCCUAUCUCUUUUUACCUCUCAAUUUCUUAAAUUUAUAGGCUAAGGUAUUUAGGGGAAAGAAACAAAGGAAGUUACAGAAGUAGGAAAAAACAUGGAAUGCUCAUAUAAACAGCAAAAAAUCGGUAUUGUUACACUGCAGGGUGUGUUAGAAAGAGAAAACAAAGUUAGAUGGAUAGGGUGGGAUCAGAUUACAGAGGAUCUUAAAAACCACAGAGCAGGUUGAUGAUUUCUGAGCAAGAAAAUGCUCAUGAUGGAAGUACUGUUUAAGGGAGACGAGAUUCAGAGCAUGAGAUGGGACGGGACAGGAUGGGAAAGGAGGGAUUCACGCUGGGAAUAGGGGCAAGUUUGGGGCCUUGGGGCAGAGAAAGGGUGGAAGGCAAGAGGAUGAUGUAGUCAUCCUGACAAAUAUAACUAAAGCCUGGUCUCACGUGGAGCAGCGAGGAGGAGAAAGGAAAAAGACAAGACAUUUCCUAGAGAAAAAAUGGACAGAACCUGGUGACUGAUGGCAUGCUGUGGAUGAGUUUCAAGCCGAAAUUCCAGGAGAGGGUGGUGUGGCUGCUGCAAAAUGGAAGGCAUGGCACUGUACUGGUAGAGAGCCUGGAAUCACAGCACUUUGAAGCUUAAAGGGGCCAGGACCUCUGAGGUUAUGGGAUUCAGCUCCCCCAGUUUAUAAAUGAGGAAGUGGAGGCCCAAAGACAUGAAGAGAUUUGUCUAAUGUCACAAAACUAGUUGCUGACAAAGCUGGCACUAGAACCCUACCUCCCUGACUGCCUUCAGAGCUCCUUCACUACUCCACCGCCUCUUAUAGGAUCCAUUCUCAGUUUCCUAUUUGCCCACCCUGACCCAAGGCCUAAACUCGCACUGUCAAAAACUCUACCAGGGAACCAGCCAUGUGGUUUUGGCCUCUGCACAUAUCUGGUCCAGGAGGAUUAGCUCUCAGCCACCAGGGCUUCAAGGCUGCUGGUCUGGCUUUACCCCAGGACUUUCCUGAAGAUAAGCUUGCCUUGCCCCUUCAUAGGGAGCCCAGCUCAGACUUUGAGACUUCUCCAGACACUGUUUUGAUGUUUCUAGUAAGUCCAUAUUUCAAGGUAGUAGAGUAAAUAAGACACAAGCUCUACUCUAAGGAUCAUUAAAAUGAUUUUGAGAUUAAAGGGCAAACCAUAUUGACCCUUAUGGUUUCCUUUUUCCUCUCCUUUUCUGACUCAGGAACAGAAUUUAAGAUGCUGUUUGGCUGAUUUGUGAUGAAAAUCUUGAGCCAUGUGUAUGGUUCCCUGGCAAACACUGGAAUUUGUAUUUGAUAUUCUUUAUACUGUCAGCUCAUAGUACUCUACUGACAACAAGAAGUACUCUAUAAUUUUUAGCAGGGCCUCUACAUUUCUUUACAGGCAACAUUCAUGAAUAAAACAGGAGUUUCUAGAUAAUUUCCUACUGACUUCAGAACUUUGAAAGAAGUUUACAAAAACAUAGCUUCCACGGUUCUUAUGGUAACCAGGGACAAUUACUUAUACUAAAUAAAAAUGGACAACUUGGUGAUCUCAUCUUCUCCAUCGGUGUCAACAAGGACUUUAACAAGGUACCACGGACUUUGGCAAGCUGUCCAUAUUAAAAUAGCUAUUUAGAGUGGACAGUACUGAACUAUUUGAACGUAUUAAGUACCAGUAUCUGCAGUGAUGACAAUUCUGCAAUUAAAAUGUACCCAAUUCAGGUAUCAAACCUCACCUUUUGGUUUAUGUUUUCUUCUUGAUAUCCUCAUACUAUUCAUUUUGAAAUUAAAUUUUUUUUUUAACCACACACUUCAAGCAUCUCAGAAACUUAAACUGAGUACAUCCGUUUGCUUAGUGGCUUCGAGACAUUCUCUUUUGUGACUAAGUGGCAGGUGCUGUUCAGUUUAUUUUUAUGCGUGUAAACUAAGCCCUUGAACUUAGAGUGAGGAAAAGCAUUCAGCUUAAACUUUAGAAAGGAAGGAACUACACAACAGCUUCCUUG